rnacentral:rRNA from 1 species
AGUGAACGCUGGCGGUAGGCCUAACACAUGCAAGUCGAACGGCAGCACAGGAGAGCUUGCUCUCUAGGUGGCGAGUGGCGGACGGGUGAGGAAUACACGGGAACCGGCCCAGCGGGGGGGGAAAAGUAAGGGAAACUUACGCUAAUACCGCAUCCGCCCUCCGGGGGAAGGGGGGGGAUCGCAAACCCUCCGGGGUUUGGAUGGGCCGAUGUCGGAUUAGCUAGUUGGCGGGGUAAUGGCCCACCAAGGCGACGAUCCGUAGCUGGUCUGAGAGGAUGAUCAGCCACACUGGAACUGAGACACGGUCCAGACUCCUACGGGAGGCAGCAGUGGGGAAUAUUGGACAAUGGGCGCAAGCCUGAUCCAGCCAUACCGCGUGGGUGAAGAAGGCCUUCGGGUUGUAAAGCCCUUUUGUUGGGAAAGAAAUCUUUCAGGCUAAUACCCUGGGAGGAUGACGGUACCCAAAGAAUAAGCACCGGCUAACUUCGU